rnacentral:lncRNA from 1 species
AAAAGUAUCACAGAAGAUGCGUUAUUUAACAGUUAAAUCACAUGCGUACCAUAUUCGUUUUUGUGUAUUCUAGAUCCUACUGGGUGUGUAUGAUGCCUUCAGACAUACUCCUUGGUGGCUAAACAGUUAUGUCAUUUCGCAGGAUCUGGUGCAGGGAGAAUGAUGUUUGGAGGACUUAUCCGCAUUCUGCUCAUGUCCCUACAACUAUACAUCGGUGUAAGUGAACUUUUCUGCCCGUCAGUCUCCGAACUCAAUACAGCUACACAGUUGACAUGUUUCACUCGAAGCAACGUCUUAAAAACCCAUACUUACUUAUCACCAACUCAGAUCCGGUUGUCACGUGCGUGGAUCCUGGAAAACUGUGUAUAACCCUUGACGAUAACUACAAUGCAUCGUUUCUCAAUGUUACACACAGUCUAUUCACUAUCUGCCGUGUCACCCAAUCCGAUGCUGGAAGAUGGACUUGCAGGCCUAAAGACUCGAAUCCGGAGAUAUGUGACUUGGCAGUAAUGAAGACACCAACGUGCAACAUCACAAGUUCAGAUGACACUGAUGUACUUGUCCAGUAUCAGGAACUGGCACUUACAGUGGACGUGCGAGACUACUACUGCUCCACCACCCACAGCGUCUCCCUCCAGACCGGGGAUGUGACAACCCCUGCUGAUGGAAGCUGACUCUGUACCAAGUGUCUCUGACAACACUUCAUCAGUAACACUAAAUGUGACGGACUCCCAUCUGGGUACAGUAGGGCUGGUGUUUAGAUGCCACAACAGUCAGCGGGGUCUUUCGUGUGGCGGUGUGAAUAAACUCGCACUUUUAAGUCCACCAACAUGCGACAUCACCAGUGACAAGGACACAGAGACGCUUACCCUACAGGAGGAAGUGACACUGACCGUAAACAUUACUGCGUAUUACGAUGUACGAGGCUCCUACUGUUCUGCAGAAUCAAACUUUACACUGCAGACCGGGGAUGUCAAACAACUUCUAAAUGUUGGUGAUCAAGGUCUUCAAUCAGUAACCUUUAAUGUGACCAAAACACACCUGGGUGGUGUAAGGCUGGUAUUCAACUGUCAAGACAAACACUGGAAUCUCAGCUGCGAUGGUGUAACAGAGCUCAAUAACAAAAUGAAAGCACGUGAAAUGAAGUAGCCACAGCUUCAAUUCCAAUCAUCAUUACUUCAGUAGUUGUCAGCCUCGUUCUAAUCGUCGUCGUCGUCAUCAUCAUCGUCGUUUUUGUCGUCAAAGAAAGGUAAAUCGAAUAAAACCACGCUCGUCAGUUAAGCCUUGUUCUCCUCCGUACAUAACUGUGGGGAACCCCUCAGUGCAGUGUAUGCUACCGUGGAGGUGAAUAACUCCAUACCACCAGCAUCGGGUCCAGGUGGAUCCCAAGAAGGUAUUUGUGAUCGAUGCAGGAGGCUAUGCCUGUGCCGGAGACGUCGUCACUAACGCCGAAAACACAUCUCCUUCGCCGCCAAGUGAUGAAUCUGACGAAUUAUCUGCAACAUCCGCAGGCAUGCCUAAGAAGGAGAUAGGUGUCAUUGUACAAAAGAUUGUCCCCAAGAUGAUCAGACAUGUAUUAAUGAACUGUAUGCCUCUGUAAAAAGCCGAAGGAUACGACACAAGAGAGUGAUGACACAGCAGUAUAAGCGCCCUUGUUAUAUUCCAUCAUCAUGUGCUGUAUGUUCUGUUUCAGAAUUUCAUUAAAUUCACUCUCCGUAAAUGCGUGCUUCUAUAUCCCAAGAAAAAGUGAAGGAGCAGUAUGUCGCAGUUCAAACGAGGUUAGAGAGAGGCAUGAUUUAAUGACUGUAUGGGUAUAGUUAGGGAUGAAACGCACCAUCGUCUAACGUAGACUUAGAAAUGCGUUAUGCUUUCCUUAUGAUCUUAAACAAUGUCAUUCAUCCUGGUUCACAUUACUGGGUCAUAUACAUAGGUCAUAUUGUUCCCGUUGUGUACAGAUGUACAUAUGAGUACAUACAUGUCAUAUAUUGCCAAUAUAGACUACACACUAACCAGAGAACCCUUAUGCUGUGUCCAGGGGUGACUUCAUGAAUCGCGUGGUCAGUUGUUCGCUGAACCCCAAAGCUGGGUAUUGUUGUUCGUAACACCAGAUAACUGGAUGGAUAACCUGUUUCAGAGUCAAGAAUGAACAACCUGCUCUUGGAAUAUCUGGAUUGUUGGUGAUUGAAGCCUUUAGCUCAAUUUUCGCCUUUGUAUCUAUUUUCUUAUCACCUUGCACAUCACCUUAUACUGUAAUGGAUACCAGUGAAACAAGAUAUGUAUGACGAUCUGAAAUGUGAUGGUCCUCACUUGCGUCCUAUAUGAAAGCAUAUACUAGUAAAUACAUACAGACGCAAUACAUACAAACGUAAGAGUUGGAGUUGAAUUUGGGGUUUUCUUCAAAACAGGACGCAUUCUUGGAAGCAAACAAUCUCCGUUGUUUACACAGUACAUAUUUUGGGUCACUCGUAUCAUACGUAGAGAACAGUAAACUAUUUCGUUGAGAUCUAAGAGGAUUGUUCCUUUAAAGUGUCUGCAACAAUUACUAGAACUUGUAGAAAGGGUUCAUUAAAUGGAUGGGGUAGCAGCUGUGGGGGUUUUGCUGAGAGUGUACCCCAGUGACACUGGUCGAUGCAUAUUCUUUGUCUCACUGACUGGGCAGACUAAUCCUCGAACAACGUGCCGCCGGGAUAUAGCUACACUUCUACCUAGCACUUUCCACUGUGAACUAUUUGAUUCCAGAAAGAGACGGAAUUCCCAGCACAAUGGACCUGGACGUCAAAACACAGGCUCCUAACAUAAGUAUCAGUGUUUCCUUAUUACUGCCUUGCCUGUGCUUCAACAUCAACUUUUUUAUAUUUGCAGAACUGUUUGAGAGAUGGGACAUGAUACUGCAAAUAUAAAGCAAUUUGGUAAAGUUCCAUGUGUGUCCUAGCAUGACAUGUUAUUUCUUUGUGUGUGUUAGAAGCAUAUGUAGUAGUAUUACAUACAGAGUUGAUUCAGACGAAGAAUACUCUGGGUGUCCAUAUCCAUGCGUUUGUCGUUUAGUGUUGACCUUUCCCUCUCUCCACCCUUUACGAAACCCUAGAUCAACCUUUGUAUGUUUACUGUCGCCUAUAGGGCAACUAUACCUCGGAAUAGAAUGGAUAAUGGUCCCUUCAAAUUUUGACAUUCGAAACGACUUCAUCAUUGUUGAUAUUUGUCACCCAACUCGAUGAAAUGUAUCCAAUGAAUUAUAUUGAAAGGUGUAAAUUAUUAAAUAAAUGGCAUUCUGCCAUAAUGUAAACUCCGAUUAUUGCAACAUGUUUAGAUAUUUCUUCAGAGUUUCCCGGAUAACUGUAAUAUUUGGGGAAGGCAGUUCACAGUCAAAUGCAUCAUUCUCACACCCAACGUUUUCCCUGUUCGAGAUGGUUAAUAUGUCCCUGUUUCUGAGGAUCUCUAUCCAAAUGCUUAUCCUGUUUGUGAUGAUUAAUAUGUCCCUGUUUUGGGGAAUCUCUAUCUCAAUGCUUUCCCUGUUCGAGAUGAUUAAUAUGUCUCUGUUUCUGAGAAUCUCUACCCAAAUGCUUAUCCUGUUUGUGAUGAUUAAUAUGUCUCUGUUUCUGAGAAUCUCUAUCCAAAUGCUUAUCCUGUUCGUGAUGAUUAAUAUGUCUCUGUUUCUGAGAAUCUCUAUCCAAAUGCUUAUCCUGUUUGUGUUGACUAACAUGUCUCGGUUUCGCGCAACCUACGCUGGUUGUAACAUGCAUUCUUAUGCACUGAGAAUACAGGACCUGUCUGACCUGGUUGAUUGUUUGCCACCCCCACCCGAAGCCGUGAAAGGUUAAUAAUAUAAUCAAUGACUGAAUUUGUUCGAGAUUCGAUAAUAUGCAAUCAUCUGUUAAAAUGUAAUGCGUCGAACUAAAAACUAUAUAUCAAUAAACUCGAGCUUUUAAAGGAAACUAGAAAUUGUACACUGCACUUCGCUUUUUGUUUUCAAUCACUUGUCAUAGUGCACUAUAUCCUAAACCAAACAUUGUAUAACAGAAUAGAACUCCCAGAACAUAAGGGUUCGAAGUGCAUGACAUUCUCAGCACAUACAGAAGAAAGUAUGGGGCUAUGACCUGGCGGUUCUCUCCCAGAUCGCAUCAUAACAAAAGAGUAUGAAGGUUGAUGCUUAUUAUUACCUUGCCUAGUUGAGGAAACGAGGACUGGUCAUUAUAUCUUGUCUGAGUUUCCAUGUUAACUUUAGACUUAUGUCAGUGCAAUGGACUUACACGUCAGUUCACCCCAAUCACUUCACCCCACAUUACAUUAUCUGAAGUAUGUUUAACCCUUCUUUUUAUUGUCUUGUUCUUUUAUAUAUCUUUGAACUCGUGCACACAUAACAUAUUCGACAGCAUGUCAUCAAACGUAACGAAUACAAUUAUUUGUUGCUAUCAAAUUACUUGUUUAAUCAUCAUAUUAUUUGAUCAGUUAUCAGGAAUAUUAAGCUCUAAAAGAAAGAACGAUAGCAUGUAAAGUUAUUUUAGAUGUAAUGAGGUAUCCAAAUUUCAAUAAUGGAAUGGUGAUAUACAUAUAUAAUUCUCUGAAAGAAUUGUCGAUUUUUUCAGUCAAUCAUAGAAUGAAAUAAGGUUGCAAUAAUACCAUCACCUGCAUGUGUCUUUUUAAAUACCAGCUUCUGGAAAGCUCGCAUUUAAAUAUCAACACACCCCUUUUACUGAUGAAUUACGAGUGUUGGGAAGACUAUGGUGUGUUUCUCUGUCUAAAUGUUGCGUACAUUUGUCAAAAUUUAUAAGCUAUUUGUUUACACAAUGUAUUUAAAAAAUUACAUGCAUGGUGUACGUUUCAAUGCUCUAUAUAAUAUUUCCAAUAAGCAAACUUUCCUUGCUGUUGGUGAUUUAAUAAUACAUUGCCUAUCGUAAACAGCAAACAGUAUCCUAUCCGUCGAUGUUACCUGUGUAUGACAUAUUUCAGACUCUGGUGUAAUACAAAAUAUUCCUUGGAAAAUGAUUUACUGGGAAAAAAAAGGAAAAUGUU